rnacentral:rRNA from 1 species
UACGUAGGGUGCAAGCGUUGUCCGGAAUUAUUGGGCGUAAAGAGCUCGUAGGCGGUCUGUCGCGUCGGCUGUGAAAACUCGGGGCUCAACCCCGAGCCUGCAGUCGAUACGGGCAGACUAGAGUUCGGUAGGGGAGACUGGAAUUCCUGGUGUAGCGGUGAAAUGCGCAGAUAUCGGGAGGAACACCGGUGGCGAAGGCGGUUCUCUGGGCCUGUACUGACGCUGAGGAGCGAAAGCGUGGGGAGCGAACAGG